rnacentral:lncRNA from 1 species
GGCAAUUAUGUUGCUGCCAGUGAGUCGCAUGGCCGAUUUAAUAAACCUCUGCCUGUCGAUUCCAGAGCUAACGCCAACAACAGUAGGGAUGUGCGUGACUCGGGGAAGGUUUGCCAUCACUGUAACAAAUGGGGGCACUGGAAAAAAGAUUGCUUCUUGUUAAAUUCCCCUAAGGCAGGUCAUUGGGAACCAAAAGGGGUUGCUACGGCAGCUCCAGUUCGUCCGGUGUCCACUUGUGUUACACCUACCUUCGGUUCAAAUGAGGAUACAUCGGUUGUAGCUCUGAGUUCUUACCGUCCAUUUAUCAUGCAGGGGACUGUGUCUUUGGUGCAGGGUGGGGAAGAAGUACCGGUAACUAUUUUGAGGGACACUGGGGCUUUUGAUUCAUUCAUUCAAGCUGGUGUUCUCCCUUUGACUAAUGUUUCUGACACUGGUGAUAAGGUUCCUAUCCGGGGCAUAGACAUGAAUAUUUUGUUGGUUCCCUUGCAUAAUGUUGUCCUAAAAUGUGAACUGUUCCAGGGAGAAGCAAAGCUCGCUGUGCGCCCAGCACUGCCUAUUCCGGGUGUGACGCUGAUCCUGGGCAACGACCUAGUGGGUGCUAAGGUCUGGGCUGGGGUCCCGCCGCCGCCGGCAGUGGUGACCUCUGUUCCCUUGGUAACGGAGGAAGUUGAUGAAUGUGAACAUGACUUCCCAGAGGUUUUUACAGCGUGUGCGGUGACCCGUGCAAUGGCUAAGUUAAAAGAGAAAUCUCAUUUAAAUGAUUCAAGUAAGACAAAAGCAUCUGAAAAGUUUUCGUUACCUCUUUCUGAUUUUCCAUUGUCCAUAACCCGUUCAGAUCUGGUUGCGGAACAGCAGGCUGAUGCCUAUCUGAAGGAGAUAUUUCCAUUGGUACGGCCAGAGGAGGAGCUGUUUGACAGUGCUUGUGGGUAUUUUCUGCAGGACUCAUUGUUGGUGAGAAAAUGGCUGUCGCAUAAAGGAAGGUUUGUGGGUGAACCAGUGUUCCAAAUUGUGUUGCCAGAGAAACUUCGCCCGUCAGUGUUAAAAGUAGCACAUAAUGAAUCUGGACAUGCUGGUGUGAGAAAAACUUACGAUAGACUACUUAGGCAUUUCUUUUGGCCUCGUAUGAAGAGAGAUGUGUCGGCAUUUAUCAAAACUUGUCAUACAUGCCAGUUAACUGACAAGCCUAAUCAAAAGUUGAAACCAGCACCAUUGUAUCCCAUUCCGGCCAUUAGCCAGCCGUUUGAACAUUUGAUAAUAGACUGUGUAGGUCCUCUACCUCCUUCAAAAUCUGGAGCGGUGUAUUUGUUAACAGUAAUGUGCCAGGCAACUCGCUAUCCGGCUGCGUAUCCUCUGCGUACUAUUACCACUAGGCCAGGUGC